GCCUAAAAUCUAGCCC
rnacentral:rRNA from 1 species